rnacentral:misc_RNA from 1 species
GAUGGAGAACGUAGCGAAAUGCGAUAAGUAGUGUGAAUUGCAGAAUUCAGUGAAUCAUCGAAUCUUUGAACGCACAUUGCGCCUUCUAGUAUUCUGGGAGGCAUGCCUGUUUGAGCGUCAUUAAACCUCUCUCAAGUAUGAUUACUUGGAUGUGAAGGAAGAGUACCUUAAACUUAAGGAGUGUUCUCCUUUGAAAUUGAUUAGCAGAUGGUAAUGUUAUUAAAUCCCUGAUGUUGUAAGAAAUAACAGUGGUUUUGUAGACUAUUAUCUAGCUUUAAAUUAUAAUUUUUAUUAUGGUUGACCUCAAAUCAGGUAAGGAUACCCGCUGAACUUAAGCAUAUCAAUAAGCGGAGGA